GCGUAUCCUGAUUUGUCAGGUCGAGGACUACGACUGUCGUAUAUCGCUACGCCAUGUUAUGUGCUUUGGCUCGAACACGUCAGAUGUCGCGUCGGCGGUCGGACAUCUUGUCAAUGUGCACGUUAACAACGAGUGAUCGCGACACCAGUUAUUAUUUUCUUUCAGUGUCAAAGUCAACGAUCGGCAUUCAUCUUGCGCGGUAUCGCCGCCCAAUCAUCCAAGUGCGUGAAUGUCCAGAGCGACUAUUCUCUACGAGUGAUUAUCGAGUUCAUCAAAGGAACUCGUCCCGAAUCUCUGUAAUCGUGUCGCGUUCGCGCUCGGGGUCUGCCUCGCGAACAAGAUUCUCCGUUCGACAGCAACGUACGACAGCACGUACACAGAUACGUGUCUCGUGUGUCGUUCUGAAAUAUUUUGUUGACGCAACGUUUUGAAGUUUAUCGAGGUGACGGGCGAGAGCGAGGCGACGGCCCAGCAGUACCUGACGUUGGCCGAUGGAAACGUGGAGAUGGCAAUUAUUAGCCUGAUGUUCGAGGGUGGCAGACCGCCGGAGACCGAGAACGCGGAUCCCGAGCCGCCCGUGAGGGCUCUUAUAUUACCCACGCGUGAAACGCUAGUGCCUUCGGAGCCGAUAUGUUCAUUGCCACAAUUGUCGAACAACGUGUAUGACAGAUUCCGUGAUUUUGCGGCAGAAACCCGACGACAAGAGGAAGAGAUGACUCGCAGAGUAACUUACACAAAGCACAUAUCUCAAAAGAAAACGAAGCUACUGGAAGAUCUAUAAUAUUUAGACCACCAUGCGAUAUUCUCUUCGUUCAAUUGCAACUCGUGCAAAGUUAUGCUAAGCUUUCAACAAGACACAUUAAAACAGGUCGUUGAAAAUAAUUUAAAAGGACAAAGAUGCGAAACAAUGCUAGAGAACGUAGUGGAAAAAAUAAAUCGGAAUUCUGCAACGUAAAUAUUUGACCUUAUAAAUAGUGAUAAAUAAGUUCGCCAAAAUACUUAAAAAUCUUCACACAAUAGUAAUGUAGCUUUUAUUUGACACUAAUUUUAUAUCCUGUAAGUACUGAUUUCCAUCUCGAGUACUUUCCUGCACAGACGCUUGAAGAUUUUCAUGCGGUCGAAGAUAAGUGGAAAAUGGACAAAGAGUACAGAGAAAAUGUGUUACGACUAUUUGCAAAAUGUAUAGGUACUAAUGUAAAAAACACAACAUAUACUCUUAUGGGAAUUUUGAUGUCGGACAAUGUAGCUAUGCAAUAUAGUUGGACCGGAGCAAAACAAAAUAAAGAGAAAUUUUCCAAGUCACGGUUUCACAUAGUUCUGCAAACAACUAUAAUGCAGAUGCAUAACGAUGCAACGCUACAAGGAAUCAAGAAGUGUAUAACUGACUGGUUAAGACAUGCUAAGGAAAGACAUACAAGACAACAUUUAAAAGGCAAUGAGUCAACAGCAAAAGUAAAUGACACAGUCGAUUAAAUGACAAACGAGGUAGAAAAAAAUAAGCUUUUAGAGCAAUAUUCCCUCGGAAUACAGAAAAAGAUUUUGAACACUUUAUAAUGGAGUGGUUAUCAGAUUCGCAAAUGUCCGUAAGGAAAGAAAAAAAACAUUAAAAAGGAAGUGAUAAAUAUAUUAUCUUACUUGCGUGGCUCCGCGCGAGUGAUUAUUAUAGUAACAAAAGGGUCUUAGGUUUGAUCUCGACUUAGUCUGCAUCCUGCAUAUACAGUCCUCGUAAAUGGUUUAAGGCUUAAAAGACCUGUAUGUGGUUUAAUAAUCCGUUUUAGAAAGUUUGUAGAAUGAAAAAAAAAUACAUAGGUCUAGGCGAUAGUAAAAAGAAAGUUUUUAUACAUUAGAAAUAGUGAUUUGUGCUAUAUGAUCUAAAAGGAUAAGGUCGAAGGCACUAACACCCUCAUUCGAGGGGACACAUUUCAAAUAAAAAAGGAAGAUUUUGAUAAAAUUAUUUGGUUUGACAUUUUUUCUCAGUAUCACAUUUAGUUUUUAUUCAAGGAUCAACGACGAAGAUGUGGAACCACAUCUGAUCUUGCCUUAAAAUGCAUUUUUUUCUGGAUUUGAGACAGAAAUCUGAUUUUUUUAUUUAAAAGAUGAGUUUUAUCCCAAAACCUUCCGCUAUGAUCAAUGAUCUUUACCAAAGAUAUUAUUGUGAUAAAUUGAAAACUGUAAUACCUAUAUGGUAUGUAUUAUUUUUAUAUAAAUAAAACUUUUUUUUAUGAUAAUUAGUGAAUUAUUCCCUAAUGCAGAUUAGUAUAUAACAAACCUGGGCAACUUCGAGCUCCGGAGUCACGACACUCCCCUACUUUCCGCGGAUAGAAAAGAAGUGUCGUGGUUCUGGAGCUCAAAGUUGUCCAAGCCUGGUUUAUAAAAGCAAUCUAAAUAUUAAUUAGACAAUAAAUAUUGAGAUAUUUUAUUACUAUUGCAUAUUUAUUGAAAACAUGUUGCCUGUAACAUGGUGUAAAAAACAAGGUGAAGCAUUGCGCAUAAUGGCGGUUGAACCAAUCAGGAGGCGACCCAUUUUGUUGCGCUCACUUUAAGUUUGGUUACGUAAUUUGAUUAGAGUCAAUUAACCGCACGUCCACAGUGUAGAUUCUGAAUUAUAGUGUGAGGAAGAAGGGUUGAAACCUCGGUUGAAACGCAAUUUACUUAAAUAAUAAUAAAAAGACAUAUGUAACGAAAAAAAUAAAUAUUUUAUU